CACUCAAUUGUUUCUUUAUGAGUUGCUUUACCUCGUUUAAGGUAGUACUAAGCUUACCUUAUAUGAAUUAUGCACACUAACCCAUUUCUUGUCUUGAACUAAAGCACUUUAUUUAACUAACUUACCAAAUGAUAGGAAAGACAGCAGGUUAAUACUCUUUCUAAUACUAGUAACUAGAUUGACCUAUGACCUACCUACCUACAGGCAGGAAGGCAAGGCAUUCUAAUUGGUUGGAGUCCUCUUCCACUUGGACUGGAUGAACCUACACCUUAGCAGUCCUCCGCUU
rnacentral:lncRNA from 1 species